rnacentral:rRNA from 1 species
AGUGAACGCUGGCGGUAGGCCUAACACAUGCAAAUCGAACGGCAGCACAGUAAGAGCUUGCUCUUACGGGUGGCGAGUGGCGGACGGGUGAGGAAUACAUCGGAAUCUACUUUUUCGUGGGGGAUCACGUAGGGAAACUUACGCUAAUACCGCAUACGACCUACGGGUGAAAGCAGGGGAUCUUCGGACCUUGCGCGAUUGAAUGAGCCGAUGUCGGAUUAGCUAGUUGGCGGGGUAAAGGCCCACCAAGGCGACGAUCCGUAGCUGGUCUGAGAGGAUGGUCAGCCACACUGGAACUGAGACACGGUCCAGACUCCUACGGGAGGCAGCAGUGGGGAAUAUUGGACAAUGGGCGCAAGCCUGAUCCAGCCAGACCGCGUGGGUGAAGAAGGCCUUCGGGUUGUAAAGCCCUUUUGUUGGGAAAGAAAAGCAGCAGGUUAAUACCCCGCUGUUCUGACGGUACCCAAAGAAUAAGCACCGGCUAACUUCGUG